GACGAUGUUAUAGUUAUUGAAGAAAUC
rnacentral:sRNA from 1 species